rnacentral:lncRNA from 1 species
UGGUGUAGGUUGGCUUUGAAGUUUCACCUUUAUGGUGUCAAAUGGGUGUCCAACUAUCAGUUGUGCUGCCCCUCCAACAGUCCCAGCAGUAAGGUCCUUAGCCACAUCUCCCAUCUAGAAAAAAAAACAAAAUUUCAACCAGGGAAAAUCGAGGAUUAAGACAAAGGCCUUGUUUGGAUAACCGCUUAUCACAUAAGAGCUUAUGUAUAAGCUAUUACUAUAACAAAAAAUAAAAUAAAGUCAAACUGUUUUCAUAAGCUAUUCUAAAGAGCUUAUGGAAAUAAAGUAAAAACAAUUGACAUUUCAUUAGUUGUUUCCAUAAGCUCCCUCAAACAGUCUCACAAAUGCUUAUACUAGUAGUUAAGCUCAAAUAAGCUAAUCCAAAUAGGCCUAAAGUAACUUGAACAUGUGAAGUAAAAUCACCCCAAAAAAUACAUAACCCUAGAGAAAACAGCAUAUUUAAACAAUAUAGGAGAAAACACUAUAUAUAUCUUGGGUUCAAAAGCCUUAUGUUUGCACCAUUGCAAAGAGGUUUGUUACUGUUUCGAAAAUACACAAUCCCUUGGUGACUUGUUAAAUUUGUUAUGUCCCCAUACAAAAAUGUUGGAACUGCAAGACCUGUGAUAUUUUCAAAAUAAAUUUGGUGCCAAGAGAAAAGCUCAACUUCAUGACAUGAAUUAGUGGAAUUCUUUAAUCAAUAAUUUCACAAGACUGGCAUAGAAUUUCAGACUCAAAAUACACAAAGAAUACUUCACAGUUACAGUCAAAAGAUACAGCUUGAAACAGUUAUAACAAAACAAAUUCUAUGCUUUUUGGAAAACAAUUUUGACAGGUAGCAAAUGAAAAAAGAAAUAAGAAUACAUACCAAGUCAUGGUAUCACUAACCUAACAAAUUAUCCUUUAGGAAAUCGAGAUAACUAAACGAUCAUUCUUGUAUUUGGAACAAGGGUCAUAUGGAUUGUUUCAUAUAUCAUAAUGCAUAGAUAAAAAAGUACAGGUUCAGAGGAUAACUUUCUAAUUGGCAGUGAAAUCUCUGUUUAGCAAUAAGCAAAAUUAAGUUUUAUAAGUUUAUUCUUAUAUGUUAGAAGCUUGACAUAAGCAUAAUAAAGAUAAUUGGUAUAGUUCAUUAAUUAGCUAAAACUACUCUGCAUUAUUUUGUACUAAUCUGAGACAGGUAAUAAAUCUUAACAACUUAGUGUAACAGUGACAUUGUUUAGCUUUUACUUUGAUAAGGGCAAAAAUGCAGCAGGUAUCAAGGUCAAAACAUGGAAUGAAUAAGUGCGGCACACUUUUUUUAUUCCAUUACCUAUCUACAAAACAAUGUAUGCUAAACAGUAAAAAGAGUAAAUUAAUGAAAAUGAAUUAGUUUUGAAAAUAGUACUAAAUACUAUCAAGGAUCAACAUCAAUUGAAGUCUGAAACAAAUAAUUUUCCUUCACCAAGCAACAUGUAAAGCAAUAUUCAACAUUCACAACCCUUUUAGCACAUCCAUCAUAUAUACUUGAUGCACAAAGGACCAUUAACUAUUUUACAAGAUAUACAAUAUACACAGAUCACAAAAAACAGCUGUGUUAAAUUCGAGUACCAUAGUACUUUCAUAGCCGCUAUUUGGCAGAACUAAUAUAGAUAUGCACAAAUAAGAAGGUACAAAAACAAAACAAAUAAUAAGGAUUUCAAAGUUCAUUAAAGUAAACGCUGGUUCAGAUUGCAACAGGUGAAAGAAAGCCAUACUCUUUUCUUUCACUGAUCAGAAAAGUAAUCACACAUUGCUUUAAAAGUGAGUUGCUCUUGAAAAGCAACACCUCAUUAUAAUAUGUAUAUAUAUAGUACUCUAUCUAAUCUUAAAAGUAAGCAAAAAGUUAAAUGUAUUUAGUUUCAAAUCAAGACCAAAUACAUUCCCUUUUCUAUUUACAUUUAAGUCCAGAGGGAGUAAUGCACAUACAUCUAUAGGAAGAAAUCAACAAAGAAAAAGGUUGAGAUCACUGAAGUUUUAUUCAUUCAUGGAAGCAUCGAUAAUUACUAUUUCCAACGAUUUCAAUACAAGUGUGGAAAAUGAACACAAUCAAACUAGUUAUCAUCUAACUAAAUUAGAUCCAAACAAACACACACUAUAUACUUUUUUCAAUGAAACAUUUGGAGGUAGAUUCAUAAUCAUAACAAAGUAUAAGGAAUCUGAUAAAUGAUGGAUGACAUUUCAAUAUAGAAAGAAAGUAAUGUUACAAUAACAGGAACAGCACAGAUCAUUCAUGAGUGCAAAUUCAAACUAUUUAUUUGAUACAGGGGAACAAGACAGCAAGGUCACAAAUCUUGGCGGACAAGUGCAUGACAUACUCAAUAACAUUGGAAAAGGCACACUUAUUCGUUGACAUGCAAUUUAAACAAAAACAUUACUACACAACAAAAUCAAGAAUGAAAAGGCAUAAACAAGAAGCAAAAGAAACCACAAGGAGUAAGGAAUCCUUGCAGUUCGCAAAAUUUGAAAUAUAUGAAGUAAAAGCAAACAAUCUUUAAACUCAAACAUAAAACUUCCAUAUAGUAUUACAUAAACAUACUCAUCUUUAAGUAAGGUCCUUAGCCACAUCUCCCAUCUAGAAAAAAAAACAAAAUUUCAACCAGGGAAAAUCGAGGAUUAAGACAAAGGCCUUGUUUGGAUAACCGCUUAUCACAUAAGAGCUUAUGUAUAAGCUAUUACUAUAACAAAAAAUAAAAUAAAGUC